CCAGGGAUGGUGACUCCACCACCUCCCUGGGCAGCCCAUCCCAAUGCCUAACAGCCCUUUCGGUAAAGAAGUUUUUCCUAAUAUCCAACCUAAACCUCCCUUGGUGCAACUUUAGCCCAUUCCCCCUCGUCCUGUCACCGGGCACGUGGGAGAAUAGACCAACCCCCACCUUGCUACAGCCUCCUUUAAGGAACCUAUAGUCUCAUUGUUUAAGGUAUCUAUAGUCUCAUCCUUUAAGGUACUUAUAGUCUCAUCUCUUUAAGAUACCUAUUAGUCUCAUGACCAGUAAUUUUAUCAUAUCGUAAACCAGUGUUAUAUAGUACAGCAGAAAACUAACCUUAAACCAGCCCCCCAAAACAAUAAACAGCAUGACAGGGAACACCUAUAGUAAGUAAUGUGCUCCAUAACUCAAUUCAGAAAACAGGCACAGCAGACCUCAGACCAAAAAAAAAACAGCACUGUGAUUAGCAAAUAUUAAACUGAUCUAAUGGUUAUAACAAUAUUGUUUUAACAUGCUCUCAUCACAAAUUAUAAACCAAUUUGUCCUGUCUAGCAUUCUGUGGUCAGGUCUGUUGAUCUCUCACGGUAUCUCAGGUACCUCCCGGCCCCACACUGGGUGCUAAAAGCACUGCUGUGGUGUAAUGCAGCAGAGAGCUCAGCACCUCAGCACUGCACAACCCUUUGGUCACCCUCCCACCAGGGGAUGGGGAUAGAGCUGACAAGGGUAAAAGUGCACAGACCGGCUGGGUGAGAGAAAGACAGUUUCAUGAGAAAGAAAGAGAGAAAAUAAGCAAGCAAGGCAACGAAAGAAAGUGAUGCACAAAACAAUUGCUCACCGCCCGCUGACCAAUGCCCAGCCUGUCCCUGAGCAACGGCGGCCCCUCAGCCAGCCCCCCCCCCCCCCCCCCCAGUCUUAUUUUUCCACAUGAUACCACAUGAUAUGGGAUAUCCCUUUGGCCAGUUGGGGCCAUCUGUCCUGGUUCUGUCCCCUCCCAGCUCCUUGUACACCCUCAGCCUGCCCGCUGGCAGGGCAGCGUGAGAAGCACAGAAGUCCUUGGCUCUGUGUCAGCACUGCUCAGCAACAUCUAAACCAUCGGUGUGUUAUCAGCACUAUGCUCAUCCUAAAACCAAACCGCCACACCGCACCAGCUACUGUGAUGGAAAGUAACUCUAUCCCAGCCAAAACCAGGACAAGCAGUGUCAGCUCCUGCGGGAGCCCCUCUGCACUGAGGGCUGCAGAGCCAGCACCGCACCUCUCAGCACCCAUGGGACUGGGACCCACACACGCACUAGAGCAUGGGCGACUGAUGAGAGGAGAUUUCCUGUUGGUUUCCCUGCAGCCAUUUGCAACAACCCAGCAGCAACUCGGUGGUCAUGGGGGGCUGGAACAUAAACUGUUUGGGGGUUGCUAUAAAAAGGCAGAGCAGCCAGCUCCACGCACCCUGCAGCAGCGCCGAGCCGUGGGUCCUGCAUGCAACAGAGCAGAGCCUCCUCCGACCCUCCGCUUGCCCCCUAGCAGACGCCUGUGCCCCAUCCUGUUGCACUCAGCGGCUGAGCUCAGCUGGUUGCAGAGGACCGGGUCCUCCGCUGCCUGGGGCAUCCCCGCUUGUGGCUGGACACCCGGAGCUUCCCGCACAUGGAGCAGCUUGGCCUGGUCUGGGUGCUGCUGGCCGGCACCUUGGCUGGCACCUUGGCUGCCAGCAGCACCCGUGAGCAAGACCUCGGCCCCAUCAAGAAGGUGGCGAUGGACAUGGCCCAGAACUCCUUUGAUGACCAGUACUGGGGCUGCAGAUACAAGAUGGAGGAGAAGCUGAAGGAGGUGAACCGCACCGAGUUCCAAAACAAGACCUAUGCGGACACCUGGGGAAGAGCAGUCAAGAAGUGGCAGAGUCUAUGGGGCAACUCAAACCAGCCGCAGGUGCUGCGGCAGGAGCAGGCGGUGGCCGUGCUGGCGUACACUGCCGAGG
ensembl:lncRNA